GACGAACGCUGGCGGCGUGCUUAACACAUGCAGGUCGAACGGAAAGGCCCUGCUUUUGUGGGGUGCUCGAGUGGCGAGCGGGUGAGUAACACGUGAGUAACCUGCCCUUGACUUUGGGAUAACUUCAGGAAACUGGGGCUAAUACCGGAUAGGAGCUCCUGCUGCAUGGUGGGGGUUGGAAAGUUUCGGCGGUUGGGGAUGGACUCGCGGCUUAUCAGCUUGUUGGUGGGGUAGUGGCUUACCAAGGCUUUGACGGGUAGCCGGCCCGAGAGGGUGACCGGCCCAUUGGGACUGAGAUACGGCCCAGACUCCUACGGGAGGCAGCAGUGGGGAAUAUUGCACAAUGGGCGGAAGCCUGAUGCAGCAACGCCGCGUGCGGGAUGACGGCCUUCGGGUUGUAAACCGCUUUCGCCUGUGACGAAGCGUGAGUGACGGUAAUGGGUAAAGAAGCACCGGCUAACUACGUG
rnacentral:rRNA from 1 species